GUGUGUGUUUUGGACUUCCCUCGCCGUCUCACCGUAGACCUCGACCUGCAGGAGCUUCUGAGCCAGGAAUACCACCGUGUGGCUGCACGUAUGGGUGUCAGGUACGUCUCUGCCACCCACUACUUUCCGCUGACACAACUGGACCUGUGGUGUCCUGACGGAGUCCAUCUCAGCAAGGAGGGCGGGAUGGAGAGGCUUGCGGAGUUGCUGUGGUGGACCCUCCACCACCAGAUGGAGCCCACAGUCCCGAGGGUCCAGACGCCUCCGAGGAUGUCGCCUCCUGCCAGACGUG